UACAGAGGUCUCAAGCGUUGUUCGGAUUCAUUGGGCGUAAAGGGUGCGUAGGUGGCGCUGUAAGUCGGGUGUGAAAUUUCGGAGCUUAACUCCGAAACUGCAUUCGAUACUGCGGUGCUUGAGGACUGGAGAGGAGACUGGAAUUCAUGGUGUAGCAGUGAAAUGCGUAGAGAUCAUGAGGAACACCUGCGGCGAAGGCGGGUUGCUGGGCUGACACUGACGCUGAGGCGCGAAAGCCAGGGGAGCGAACGGG
rnacentral:rRNA from 1 species